rnacentral:lncRNA from 1 species
AGAGGAUAAUUGUAUGUUUGUAUUGAAGUCUGAGUGUUUUCUGAUUGUUACCAGCGUGCCUGGGCGCAUAGCUUAACACAGCCUCCUUCUCCACCCCUUUGUCAAUCCGUCAGUAAAUCACAAAUAGGAGAAAGUGUCACCGGACAGAGAGAGAGACUUGACUCUCGAAGUUUUUUAUUGAGCCAUCUUCACUAACACCACAGUCCCCCUGUAAACCCAUAAAAAGAGAAAGGGAAAGAGGGAAAAACGGAAGUGGAAAAGGAGGGAAGGAAGGAAAGCGGGAAGAUAGGAGGGAAAGAGGGAAGAUAGGAAGGAAGAAGGAAGGAAGAAGGAAGGAGGUAAAGAGAGAAGGAGGGAUAGAAGGAAAGAGGGAAGGAAGGAAGGAGGUAAAGAGAGAAGGAGGGAUAGAAGGAAAGCGGGAAAGAGGGAAGGAAGGAAGGAAGUAGGGAAUGUGAGAAAGAGGAAAGGAAGGAGGGAAAGAUGGAAGGAAGGAAAAAGGAAGGAAGGCGGGAAAGAAGGAAGGAGGGAUGAGGGAAGGAAGGAGAGGGGAAGAGGGAAGGAAGGAUGGAAGGAGGGAAGGAAGAGGGUAAGAUGGAAAGAAGGAAGUAAGGAGGGAGAGGGAAGGAGGGAAAGAGGGAAAGAGGGAAAGAAGUAAGGAGGGAGAGGUAAGGAGGGAAAGAGGGAAAGAGGGAAAGAAGUAAGGAGGGAGAGGUAAGGAGGGAAAGAGGGAAAGAAGUAAGGAGGGAGAGGUAAGGAGGGAAAGAGGAGUAGUAAGGUAAAGGAUACAUCCUGGAGAGAGGAAGAGUAGCAGUAUAUUCCUCCUGAUGAGUCAUAGAGUGCUACGGUAUGUGUGGUCUGUUGCUACGGUAUGUGUGGUCUGUUGCUACGGUAUGUGUGGUCUGUUGCUACGGUAUGUGUGGUCUGUUGCUACUGUAUGUGGGGUCUGUUGCUACUGUAUGUGGGGUCUGUUGCUACGGUAUGUGGGGUCUGUUGCUACGGUAUGUGGGGUCUGUUGCUAUGGUAUGUGUGGUCUGUUGCUACGGUAUGUGUGGUCUGUUGCUAUGGUAUGUGUGGUCUGUUGCUACGGUAUGUGUGGUCUGUUGCUACGGUAUGUGUGGUCUGUUGCAACGGUAUGUGUGGUCUGUUGCUACGGUAUGUGUGGUCUGUUGCUACGGUAUGUGUGGUCUGUUGCUACGGUAUGUGUGGUCUGUUGCUACGGUAUGUGUGGUCUGUUGCUACGGUAUGUGUGUUCUGUUGCUACGGUAUGUGUGGUCUGUUGCUACUGUAUGUGGGGUCUGUUGCUAUGGUAUGUGUGGUCUGUUGCUACGGUAUGUGUGGUCUGUUGCUACGGUAUGUGUGUUCUGUUGCUACGG